rnacentral:snRNA from 1 species
CGAUAGCGAACAAGUACCG